GACAGCGUCUCGCGCAUGACACUGCAUUUGAGUCGCGCAUAGAACACAAACCGACGGGCGCCGCUCCGGUGGAGAAAAGUGACUGGAUCUAAACCUUUAGAUGACUCACAACUCAUAUCUACGUCGCUGUGGAAUUAAACAGAGGGUCCUAGAAGAUAUACCUUAUGGAUUUCCAGGAAACCCCACACUUUCUGCUGUGCAGUUGUGCUGAAGUGACACCUGGCUUUAGAAGUGUCUGAUUAGCUCAGUUCUCCAGGCUAAUUUCUUUGAGAAAGAGUCUCUUUUUUAACUUUUGAGGCACUUCACCACAUCUCCAAGUGAUUUCACCUGUUCCUCAAGUGUUGCUGAAAUCUGAACUACUGCUUCUCUUUUUUUUCUUUGUAUGAUUAUGAUAUCUUAACCUACAGCCUUCAUACUGUUGUAAAAAACGUUAAAAGAACCCAGCCUCAAGUUACAUAUGAUGGUCUGUAAAUAAAAAUCUGUUGAUUUAUUUA